UGACUUUAUUGUAUAAAAUAUGGGCUUGCCCCUGCCCUUUCCCACCCCACUGUCCUUUCUCCUAUGACCUCCGCAGAGUGAGCAGAAAUGUGUGUUUCUCUUGUAGAUAAAGUAUCACUGAUGAAAGAGUUUGGCCAGCAAUGGAGUCAACUGAGUGGCCAAGCUCUGCUGGACGUCACAGAGCGUAUCACAGUGCUUGUGGAAUGGGUUUAUCCCAGGAGCCCUGAAGUCGUCCAGCGCUACGCCCUGCCCGUGCUCUGGUCCUUCCUGGGGAACAAGGCACUGCCCGUGCGAAGCGCCAAUGUCCGCACUGUGGUCACCAAGCUUGCCUCUGCCCUCUACAAGGUGAUGGGCACCAAGCUGAGGAAGUGUGCUGCCAGCCAGCCUCCACAUGUGCGGCAAAACCUCUCCAGCAUCUUGGGCUGGUGAGGGCCUGAUGCUCUCCAGGAAGCUGACGAAGAGCUGACUCAAACACCUCCGGACGUGACUUUUUAGCUGUGCCAACAACGACAAAAUACUGAGGAAGGGUUUGCAUCCGCCCCCGCUCUCUCCACUGCCCUUCCUAGUCAAGGCAUGGGGGGCCUGAAACAACUCCAGAUUGAGGACAAGACGAAGGCUGAGCAGGGCUCAGCCUCUCACACAGACCUGACAGGCUCCUCUCAUCACCAAGAAAUUUUCUCUGC